UGUAGGAAGUUUUUGAUAAUACCAAAACUUGAUAGGCAGCUUCAAUUUUUUUUCUUUAUUUUCAGUAAUCUAUGCCAGCAAUUAUGACAAUGUUAGCAGACCAUGCAGCUCGUCAGCUGCUUGAUUUCAGCCAAAAACUGGAUAUCAACUUAUUAGAUAAUGUGGUGAAUUGCUUAUACCAUGGAGAAGGAGCCCAGCAAAGAAUGGCUCAAGAAGUACUGACACAUUUAAAGGAGCAUCCUGAUGCUUGGACAAGAGUCGACACAAUUUUGGAAUUUUCUCAGAAUAUGAAUACGAAAGUAAGCAAGUGGUGGUUUUAAAAUCUGUUAUUUCUUUUCUUCCAGUCAUAAACUUUGAGGAAGGUAUCUCAUUUUUAGUAUUAGCAUUUGUUAUCUCAAAUUAUUUUAUAUUGUUAAUUUGUUUCAAAAUUUAGUCUUAAGCAUAUAAUUAAUUCUUGCAAAUAGUCCUAAGAAUUAUGAAUGAAGUUUUGUAAUGGGACUAGUAUGCAAGGUGGCUUUUUUGGUUGUCUGAUUUUGUUUUUUUCUUUUUAGUAUAUGUAUACAGGUCU
rnacentral:lncRNA from 1 species